rnacentral:rRNA from 1 species
UGGUACUAGAGAUAACGUAAGGGAAAAUUAUGAUACUACCUUACUAUAAGUGUUGUCCAACUAACUGGUGCCAGAAGACUCGGUAACGCCAGAAACGCAAACGUUAGUCGUCCUGAUCAGGCGUAAAGGGUAAGUAGGCUGCUUUGAAAGUUAUUAAUUAGGAAGCUUUGUCUAUUUUAGCAUUACCUUAGCGAAAGCUAGGCAAGUGUUAUCUAGGUAUAUAAUUAAUAAUGAAUUAAAGCUAGAAUCAAAAAGAGGAUAAGCCAAAUAAUAUUUAGAGUAGGGAUGAAAUCCGUAGAUACUAAAUGGAAUACUAAUGGUGAAAACUUUUAUCUAAUAAUGAUUGACGCUGAGGAACGAAGGUGAGAAUAGAAAAUAGGAUUAGAGACCCAGAUAUCUCUCACUGUCAACGAUGAAUGGUGGUUGUUAGUUUUAMAAUAAACUAGUAACGAUGUUAACGCGAUAACCAUUCCGCCUUGCGAGUACG